CCUUCAUCUUUAAUCUCCUCAUUCUUCUCCUUCACGUUGCUUACAGAACCUCUUCCUGAUGUUCAUCUUCUCCUUCUAAUUCAACUCCUGUAAUCCAUCUGGUGGUUCACUCUAUCAACAAACCCUAAUGAAUCCACCCAUAAAUAACAUGCCAAUCAAUCCGUUCUUUUAAUUUCUUCACUCCUUUUUCAAACCCUAAAAACUCUGGUGGCACAUACCUGCACUGUGAUUCUUUCUAACCCUAACGGAGGCAAGAAACAGAUCCAACAAUGGAGAAGUACAUAGUACGAUAGCAUUUCCGUGGCACUUCAACCGCCUCUUCCUCUCACUGUCAUGGUCGUCAUCUCUCCUAUAGACGCCAUUGAAUCGAGGAUUUGUUACGGCGGAGGUAGCGUGUUGUGGGCAUGAACAAUACAAUGAAAUUGGAGUAUCCAAAUCGGUUUGAAUUUGUGUCCAAGCAGAGAUAUAUACGCGUUCUGGGAUCCUUUUUGGGAGGCUCAUAGUGGUAAAAAUUCUUCAUCCACUAAAUGCAGAAGUAUUCCAACAUCAAGUGACCUUGUGCCCUCAAAUGAUUAUGUAAAAGUACCUACUUAUGGAACUGAGGUAUUGGAAAUUGAUGCCAAGCUGCUGAAAUUCUUAUAGAGGGAUGUUGAAUAAACGAUACUGGUAACAUCGUUUUAAUAUGAUAAAUAUUUAGAGAUUAUGAUUAUUUGUAUAUAUACGUGAGUUAUAUUUGUAAUCUCACUUCAUUAUUACUUUAUUUAAUAUGAAACUUUUUUUUUAAUCUAUACAGUAAUGACCGGAAACACUUAAUGUCAAAAUAAUGGAUGUAGGCUUUACGUUUACAUUUCGGAUGGGUCACUUUGUUUGUCCGAAAUGUUUAAGAAAGAUGAUUUCAGGAUUAUGAUUAUAAUCGUUUUAACUAUAAUAAGAAAGUUUAUGUCAAACUAUUAUUUCUCUGCACCACCGUCCUCACUUACUUGACUCUUAGGAAGACAACCUCUAGAGGAUCCG
rnacentral:lncRNA from 1 species